rnacentral:lncRNA from 1 species
GGGGACGGGGCUGGGUGGUCUAGGGCCCCUGAGUUCACUCCCUGGUACCAAGAUAAAAUAAAAUAAAAACAUAAGUCCUUGCUUGGCUCGUUUAAGGUCCUGGUUUGAUCCUGAGCCCUGUACAAAUAUAAACCUCAGGUAAAUCCGGUUACCUGCAUGUGACAGGUGAGAAGAGUGGGCGGGGGCACAGUGAGAUCAAGCACCCUGGCCCAGGACUCUGGCUGGUGGGCAGUGCUGCUGGGGUUCAAAGCCAAAUUUGGGGUGAUGGUCCUCAGACCGGCUUCCAGGGGAGACAGCACCAGGCCUGGACAGAGGGCCUUGGGCGCCCCCUGGUGGCCAAAACUGCUGAUUCCCCACCAGCUGCCCCUCACCUCCCUCCGCCUGCAGGGGGCGCCCUGCUCCAUGGGGCAAGAUGUCCCUUGUCAUCCUUAACUAGUAGCUCGUCUUCCAACGGGGCCAAUCAGUCCUUGGACACUUUGGGGAAAAGCCUCUGUCCUCGCUGCCUUUAAUCAUGACCCAAGGACCAGGCUGUCAGCGAGCCCUUUGGGGGGACUUGAACAUCAGACUUGGAGGUGAGAAAAUAAAUGACAGGGAUUUCGACACCCUGGGAAGGAUGAGGCUGGGAGGGCAGAGAUUUGUGGUAAGGAAACUGUGGCCAAAGUGUUCGAUUUUUUUUUCUCCCUGUCAACAGGCUCAAUGACAAAAUUAUUUCAGGGCUAAGACCCGGCCAGGAUUUAUGCAACCCAAGGAGUUCUGCACCCAACGCUGCAGUCCUGCCUCUGAGGUAUUGCAGAUCGGGCUUCAGAUCACAGCAAUAAAAACAUUUUGUCACAAUAAAGUGCGUCCCCUUGACUUUUUAAUUUGUAUUUUAAAUUCAUGGGCAAUGUGCAUACUUAUGAGUGGGCCGUGUGAUAUUU